rnacentral:rRNA from 1 species
UGGUAGGAGAGCGUUCUAAGGGCGUUGAAGCAUGAUCGUAAGGACAUGUGGAGCGCUUAGAAGUGAGAAUGCCGGUGUGAGUAGCGAAAGACGGGUGAGAAUCCCGUCCACCGAUUGACUAAGGUUUCCAGAGGAAGGCUCGUCCGCUCUGGGUUAGUCGGGUCCUAAGCUGAGGCCGACAGGCGUAGGCGAUGGAUAACAGGUUGAUAUUCCUGUACCACCUAUAAUCGUUUUAAUCGAUGGGGGGACGCAGUAGGAUAGGCGAAGCGUGCGAUUGGAUUGCACGUCUAAGCAGUAAGGCUGAGUAUUAGGCAAAUCCGGUACUCGUUAAGGCUGAGCUGUGAUGGGGAGAAGACAUUGUGUCUUCGAGUCGUUGAUUUCACACUGCCGAGAAAAGCCUCUAGAUAGAAAAUAGGUGCCCGUACCGCAAACCGACACAGGUAGUCAAGAUGAGAAUUCUAAGGUGAGCGAGCGAACUCUCGUUAAGGAACUCGGCAAAAUGACCCCGUAACUUCGGGAGAAGGGGUGCUCUUUAGGGUUAACGCCCAGAAGAGCCGCAGUGAAUAGGCCCAAGCGACUGUUUAUCAAAAACACAGGUCUCUGCUAAACCGUAAGGUGAUGUAUAGGGGCUGACGCCUGCCCGGUGCUGGAAGGUUAAGAGGAGUGGUUAGCUUCUGCGAAGCUACGAAUCGAAGCCCCAGUAAACGGCGGCCGUAACUAUAACGGUCCUAAGGUAGCGAAAUUCCUUGUCGGGUAAGUUCCGACCCGCACGAAAGGCGUAACGAUUUGGGCACUGUCUCAACGAGAGACUCGGUGAAAUCAUAGUACCUGUGAAGAUGCAGGUUACCCGCGACAGGACGGAAAGACCCCGUGGAGCUUUACUGUAGCCUGAUAUUGAAAUUCGGCACAGCUUGUACAGGAUAGGUAGGAGCCUUUGAAACGUGAGCGCUAGCUUACGUGGAGGCGCUGGUGGGAUACUACCCUAGCUGUGUUGGCUUUCUAACCCGCACCACUUAUCGUGGUGGGAGACAGUGUCAGGCGGGCAGUUUGACUGGGGCGGUCGCCUCCUAAAAGGUAACGGAGGCGCUCAAAGGUUCCCUCAGAAUGGUUGGAAAUCAUUCAUAGAGUGUAAAGGCAUAAGGGAGCUUGACUGCGAGACCUACAAGUCGAGCAGGGUCGAAAGACGGACUUAGUGAUCCGGUGGUUCCGCAUGGAAGGGCCAUCGCUCAACGGAUAAAAGCUACCCCGGGGAUAACAGGCUUAUCUCCCCCAAGAGUUCACAUCGACGGGGAGGUUUGGCACCUCGAUGUCGGCUCAUCGCAUCCUGGGGCUGUAGUCGGUCCCAAGGGUUGGGCUGUUCGCCCAUUAAAGCGGUACGCGAGCUGGGUUCAGAACGUCGUGAGACAGUUCGGUCCCUAUCCGUCGUGGGCGUAGGAAAUUUGAGAGGAGCUGUCCUUAGUACGAGAGGACCGGGAUGGACAUACCUCUGGUGUACCAGUUGUCGUGCCAACGGCAUAGCUGGGUAGCUAUGUGUGGACGGGAUAAGUGCUGAAAGCAUCUAAGCAUGAAGCCCCCCUCAAGAUGAGAUUUCCCAACUUCGGUUAUAAGAUCCCUCAAAGAUGAUGAGGUUAAUAGGUUCGAGGUGGAAGCAUGGUGACAUGUGGAGCUGACGAAUACUAAUCGAUCGAAGACUUAAUCAA